UACGUAGGGGGCUAGCGUUGUCCGGAUUUAUUGGGCGUAAAGAGCGUGUAGGCGGCCUGGUAGGUCUGCUGUGAAAACUCGAGGCUCAACCUCGAGACGUCGGCGGAAACCAUCUGGCUAGAGUCCGGAAGAGGAGAGUGGAAUUCCUGGUGUAGCGGUGAAAUGCGCAGAUAUCAGGAAGAACACCCGUGGCGAAGGCGGCUCUCUGGGACGGUACUGACGCUGAGACGCGAAAGCGUGGGGAGCGAACAGG
rnacentral:rRNA from 1 species